GACCUCGUAGCUCAACUUGUAGAGCAUGCACUGUAAAAAUGCCCUGGCGGUGUUCGUACGUGGGUUCGAAUCCCACUAAGGCUA
rnacentral:tRNA from 1 species